GAGCUGCUCUAACGGUCCGGGGAGGGGUGGGGGGGAGCGUGAAUCGUGGUUUCGAGCGGCCUGGGACACUGAAGGAUGUAAUGUUCAGGCGGUCAACACCAGCUUUAUAACGAGGUAGCGCGUUAAUUAGUGAAGACCAGCUUCAGGACAAAGUGUCCUGUUCAGUAACAUGGACCUUUCGGUCCAACUCAGUACAGGUGGACCUCCUGGUAUCUGGGGACAUGAACCUCCACACUGUCACCAUCUGAUGAAGACAGUGACAGGGUGUUCUGACAGCUUGUUGGACGGAGAGCUGCUGAAUUAACCCUAACUGUGCUUUAAAAACAUUAGUAGAAAAACGACCACAAACCCCCGCUAUAAUAACUUCGCUAUUCUUCCGCCUUCUACAUGUAAUGUUUAAUAUUCGGGGUCCUGCUUCAUCCCCGUCCUCUCCUUCCUUUUCGUCCUCAGCUCAACUCUGGCCUCCGUCCGCCCCCUUCAUCGAGCAGGUCCGACUUGAGCCUAGCCUGCGAGCUAACGCUCCGCUGCACCGUGUCCCCGACCCAUCGCUCACGUUCCGCCCGGUAAAGUUUUUAGAUCCGGUCCCUCGGACCGCUUACCCACUGAAGAAGAGCGAAGGGGGGGUCUAGUCCGGAGCGGGACCUCGUGCAGGGUCCUGUUUGUUGACGUGCAGGCGGUCUUCAAUGGAGUCCACGCGCAGAGCUCGGGUCCCGUCCCCGUGGUUACAUACAUCAGCAGGGUCUCCGGCUCGUGCGUCUCAGGGGGGGCAGAGAGGAGCACAUGGGCGGGGGAAGAGACCUGGACCCCCGACGCGAACGGGAGGCGGAGGAAGCCUCCAGGCCUGGCACCGCUCUAGCAGGACGGGCCAGAGGCCGGCGCUGUCUCUUCGUUCGGGAUUACCGUCGUCUCUGGGGGCCAAGUCUAUACGGGUCAAAGGCAAACAUCCAGCCAGCGGCAGGGACCAGGGACCAGGGUUAGUGAGGAGGGGGUAGGACGGCCCUCGGGGUCUGGGGCCGGUCAAGGACAUAUGUUGGUCAUUAACUUGUCAUGGUAUUUAGCAGAGACUUUCAUCCCUAUUGAGAUAUAGCUUGAGGCCCUUUGGGAGCAUAAAGAGGUUAGUUUAAAAGCUCAUGCUAACAUACAGCUUGAAUAUGGACGUUGGAGUUGAAGUGUGUAGUCUGGUGGUGAGUAUGUGGUGAUCUGUAGGGAUAAGCAUUGUGUGGUUCUCCUUAGAAGGGACAGGGACAAGCAGGUACACUAGAUGUUACAUCUGUUGGGAUCUCGGCUGAGCAGCAGUAAGAGUCUGGGAGGAUUACGUUGCUUCAUUCUUCUCACGUCGCUGAUCCUGUCAGGAACCGAGUAUUACUGGAUAAGAAGAUAUUAAAUAGCAUGCAGACAUAAUUUGUUUUCUCCCAUGACCACGUCCCCCCAAUUUGAUAUUGCAAAUACGUAACAUGCCACAAAAGACUGAAGAAAAGGUAUUCAUGUUUAUAUUAGCUUUAUUAAAUAAUGUGACAGCCUCCAUAAUCCAAUGUUGUUUUACAAAUGAACCAUAACGCUGUGAUUUGCUACAUGGAUUGAACUGGGUUGCGUCAUAUAGAGAAGUGGUGAUAUAAUUGAGAACCUAUUUUUAUCCAUCUUUAAAAUAGUUUCACAAACCGAGAUGUUAUCAGUGAUUUACAUUGCAUGUUUUUGUCCACUUGUUUGGGGUUUUGGCUUUGAGACCCAUGCCUCACAGGUACAAAGCCUGUGUGAUAUAUUUAUGUUGGACACAUUAUUCUGUUGGCUAAUACCUUUCUCUUAAUGACACAUCAUAUUGUAAAACCAAUUCUUCCUACAGCCACACAACAUGUACAAAAGAGUUUUUCCCACAGCAAAAUAAAGCAAAGCUGAAUGUCU